rnacentral:lncRNA from 1 species
CUUUGACAUUAAACAUAUUACCUAUUAUAAGGACAUUAUUAUGUUAUAUAACAAAUAACAUAAUAAAUACAAUUUUGUGUGUGUAUAACAAGGUCAUAAUAAAAAAGUAAAUCUAAUCAACAUAGAUUAUCUAUUAAGGUUUACUCUAACAUAUACAACAUCUCUUAUUCUACGAGAUCAUUUAAAUUAGGAAAAGAAAAAUACAACUAUUUGGUACCAACAUAAUAACUAAAUGAUAGAUCAUGAAAUAUUUUGGCAUUCGGUAUAUUGCACAUUUAUUUUGGUAGCAUAACAAAACAUUCUUCUUGAUUGGGCGUUUGUGUACUCUCGUGGGUUUGGUAUUCAUAGAAUUGGUUGACAUUCGUGAUUAAUGCACUUAGUAACAAACCAUAUUUGUCGACAAUCGACAUCAGUUUUACAUUCCUUAUGUACUGCUGUAAUGAAAAAAAAAUAUAAUAAAUAAUGGUACUAAAACAUUAUAAAAAAAUGUGUAUACCAACUAUGGUAAAGAAGGAAAUUUGAAAAAGAACGAAAAAGUUAUUUACCUCCAUCAACUUUUGUUGCAACAAAAAAUAAGAAUAGAACAAGAAUCGUAGCAUAAACAAACUUUAGAAUAUGAGCC